rnacentral:rRNA from 1 species
CGGCAGCAGCUAAGAAUCUUCCGCAAUGGGCGCAAGCCUGACGGAGCGACGCCGCGUGGGCGAGGAAGGCCGCAAGGUUGUAAAGUCCUUUUCGGGAAGGGGAAUAAUACAAAGAGGCAAUGCUUUGUAGAUGACAUGAAUCCCGGAAUAAGCCCCGGCUAACUACGUGCCAGCAGCCGCGGUAACACGUAGGGGGCGAGCGUUGUUCGGAAUCAUUGGGCGUAAAGGGCGCGCAGGCGGCGUGUAAAGUCUGGCGUGGAAGUCCCCGGCUCAACUGGGGGAUUGCGUUGGAAACUGGCACGCUUGAGUACGAAAGGGGAUGGCGGAAUUCCUAGUGUAGGAGUGAAAUCCGUAGAUAUUAGGAGGAACACCGAUGGCGAAGGCAGGUCUCUGGGCAGUAACUGACGCUGAGGAGCGAAAGCAUGGGUAGCGAACAGGAUUAGAUACCC